CCCCAACCUGCAUCCCUGACCUGGUAAAAGUGUUGCGUUUUCAGUUUUUGUUAUAUUCGCGAGCAGGUACGAUACAUCUAGCGCAACUCCUCUGUUUUAACACUAGUCCUUUGAUUGAUGAACAAUUAGGUUUGGGAUCGAAUCAUACCAGCCCCUAUAUUGUUUUCGCUAGGCUGGGCUUUGUUUCUGUUGUUUGCGUUGGAUCGGUUGUUCUUUUAUGAUAACUCUCCCAAUUGUUCACACAAUGCUUUGUUAUCUGAGAGGCAGCGCUGCUCAGAUCCAACCAUGGGGUCUUGGGUUCGAUCCCAGCUCACCCCAUUAUUUUGGUUCUUUCGUUUUUUUCUUCCUACUCUAGUGAUGUUACAAUCAGAUCUGAUGUAAUUCCACGUACCCCAUAUUCAUCCACCGGCAUAUGGGAACCCAGUAACCGGGAUCAUACCAUCAUUCUUUGGCAUGACACACUCACACUCACAAUUCGUUGGCAUCGGUAUCUCAUCGAGUUAUCACAACCGAAACGUUGCCCUAGCAUCGUUUCCGUUUUGCUUCCAUUGUUCCCUUUCCUUCGCCAUGGCGCCACAUGCUUCAUAUCCUUCUUGCCAGUGUUUCCAUAAAAUUGCAUGCAUGUUGCAUUCAUGGCAAAAUAUCUUGUGUUGCACGUAUCUGUUAACCAUAGCUCUGAUCAAAUGAGCUAUAUGUAUAAACCGACUAGAAUGAUGUGUAGAAUCACAUGCUUCACAUUUUUCCAUGCUUAAACAACAUUUAGUAUUUCCGUGUAUAUAAACGGGAGUGAACUAAAUACUUCAAAUGUGGAGUUUCGUGAAUAUCCAACUCGUUGCAUACCGAGCUUCAUUUAAUCAGUAGUAAUAAAUUAUGGUGCUUUUUCGGGCAUGCAUAACUAAACCGAUCAUGCAUCAUAUGUGUUGUGCAUCAUAUCAUGCAUUUGUUGUGGUGUUAUUGUGUGUUGAUUGUUGUUUCGGACUAUUUCUUCUCGAUAGAGUUCCAAACCUCUUAGGAGUGAGAGGAUCCGUUCGACUACAUUGGUUCGUCUGCUUCACGAAUUCGUUCUCAUUUCAAACGGGAUCACAUGCAAGAUAACCAUUUCCCUAGAUACCAUUACUAUCAACCAUGCUAGUUGUCUCAUUUCUUUUGCUAUGUCGCGUUGCCUACCACUAAAAUGUCAUCCUCUAAACAUUAGCAUGAAAACUUUUAACCUUUCUAAAACGUAGUAAACCAUUGUUUGGCUAUGUUACCGAUUGCUCAACCAUUGGAUAGAGUUGCUAGUUGCAGGUGCAGUUGCUUCCAUGUGACCACAUGGGUUUCUUGUUAUAUCAUCAUAUUUUUGCUAAAUAAUUUAAUGCACCUAUAUACUUGGUAAAAGGUGGAAGGCUCGGACUUUCUAGCCUGAUGUUUUGUUCCAUCUUUGCCGCCCUAGUUUCGUCUACCGGUCUUAUAUUCCAUAAUUGAGCGCUCCUAACACGGUCUAGUUUGUUAUGGGGACCCCUUGAUAAUUCGUUUUAGAUUAAGACUGAUCUGGCAAGGCCCAAAUUUGGUACUACAUUUGCCUAGUAACCUAAUAAAACUGCAUAGGGACUUUUCGGAUCCCGUGGAUAAAUAAACAACAACUCGGGCCAGUGCUCCUCACGAGUGUUGGUUCAAAACAGAGUUACUUGCGAGGCCACCCGGGGCAACUCGGAGGAUGUGCUCAUUCGGUCAUGUCCUGAGAAUGAGAUACACGGCUCCUAUCGGGUUUGGCCACACGUCGGGCGGCCUUGUUGGAUUAGUUCUACCUUCUACAAAAUAUCUUGUGAAUAGAGAUUCCGGCGAUGCUUUGGGAUAUCUCAGAGUUGAGGUCUUCCACUAAGGAAUAUGAGGAGAUCACGAGUUUCGUGAUCGAGGCUUUCUAUGUGGCUUGUCGUAAUUUGUGAUGGACUAGUUGGAGCACCCCCAUAGGGUUAAAUCUUUGGGAAAGUCGUGCCCGCGGUUAUGUGGCAACUUGGAAACUUUGUUUAACAUUCGGUUCUAGAUAACUUGAAGUAAACUUAAUUAAAAGAUGCCAAGUGUGUGCCUAAACGUGACUGUCUCUUUCAUGAGUUCCUUCUCCGACUGAGGACACAGUGGGGUUAUGUCUGACAUAAGUAGGUGUUCACGAUCAUUCAUUUGACCAUCAGUAGGUCACGUCCGCUAUGCGUAGAUCACUCCUCUUUAUUUUUGUACUCGUAAGUUAGCCACCUCAAAUAAAUGCUUAGUCGCUUGCUGCAAUCUCACCACUUAACCAUGCCUCACCCCAUUAAGCUUUGCUAGUCUUGAUACCUUUGGAAAUGAGAUUGCUGAGUCCCUGUGGCUCAUGGAUUACUACAAUACUAGUUGCAGGUAUAGGUAAAGUGACAUUAAGAUGUGAGCAUGAUGAUUACGCUAUUAGAGUUUCUUCUUCAUCAUCAUCGAUCUAGGUGGGGUUCUAGGCCGACAGCUUGGGAUAGCAAGGAUGGACGUCGUUCUUUUGUUGUUUUUUUUCGUCUGUAGUCGAAACCUGCUCUUCUACAUGAUGACUGAAUAUUGUUGUAAUGAUGUCAACUUGAUUUAGCUUGUGGCGAGUGUAAGCCAAUUCUAUAUACUCAUCUCUUCAGUACAUGUCCUUGUAAUGAUAUCCAUCCUUGCAAAACGAUGAGAUGUGCUUCUAUCCCUGUCAAGGACCUCGCGCCAAAAUAAGAAUAGUAUGGCAUCUUGGGUGUUAAAAUCCGCCUGAAGGCUGAGGCUAGGAGCUCUUGAGCCUUGUGCUUGGGUGUCUAACACCUCAAUAAAUCGCCGCCCAUGACACUCUCAUGUAAUAAUGAGUUUGGGUUUGUACAUGCUUCGGAGCCUCCAGAAGUGGAAGCCCACAACGGGCCUCGUCGUGGCCUCGGGAGGGGGCUCCCGCCCACGCCGAAGUGGAAGUCCCCAUGCUCUGUGCUGGCGGAAUUACUGUCAAACUGCGACAAUGCCCAUGCCAAGGUGGAAGCCCCAUGCAUCACGCUGGGGAGGAUCGUUGGAGCCCCAUUCUACCUCACACGAUUGGAUGUUAGGACAUGGUGCCUGUGCUCGGGUUCAUCCCUGUAGCACCGAGAAAUCCAAGCGAUCAAGCUCUAUCUGGCGGUCUCUCACCCAUGCACGUCACCUCCUUAGGUCCUUGGUGUCUAGUUCCAGUACGACACCCAAGCACAAGCAGGCGGGCGUAAGGAGCUCUAACCAAUUCGCCCGUAUGAGAGACGCUUGCACGUCAAGGGGUGUGCCCGAGCACCGUGACUUAGGACCUUCAUUGGUCGUGUAGCCUCUUGCCUGCUGGUAAUCCAGUGGCAAUUGAGAUACCCGCAGGGUUGGGCCCUGCCGACACAAAGUUCAAGGCCUUCAUCACGGAGUGGGAGUUUCUUGCGCAUCAAGGGGGGUGCCUGAGCAUCACGACUCAGGACCUUCACUGGCUCUGUAGCCUCUCACCUCCUGGUAAUCCAGUGGUCGCUGAGAUAUGUGCAGGGUUGGCCCCUGCUGAUGCAGAUCGUAAAGGCUCCAAAUGGUUAAUACUAGGAUCCUCAAGGAAGUCGCUUGCGCAUCAAGGGGGGUUGCCUGAGCAUCGCGACUCAGGACCUUCGUUGGCCCUAUAGCUUCUCACCUCCUGGUAAUUUAGUGGCGGUCGAGAUACAUGUAGGGUUUGGCCGUGCCGACGUAGAGCGCCAAGGCUUCCAGAGGAGAAUGUUUGGGCCCUCUAGGGAGUCACUUGCACAUCAAUGAGGGGUUCCUUAGCAUCCCGACUAACGACCUUCACUGGCCCUAUAGCCUCUCACCUCCUGGUAAUCUAGUGGCAGUUGAGAUACCCGCAAGGCCGGGCCCUACCGACAUAGACCGCCGAGGCUCCCGAAGGGGAAUGUAGAGGUCAUCAAGCGAUUCGCUUGUGCGUCAAGGCGGGCACCUGAGCAUCACGACUCAGGGCCUUCACUCGCCAUGUAGCCUUUCACCUCCUGGUAAUAUAGUAGGUGCUAAGAUACGCACAGGGUUGGGCCCUGCCGACGUAGAGCACAAACACAAGCAAGAGAAAAACCUAGUGUAGAGAUAGACAUUACGAAACACGAGCAGUUAUAAUAGAAUUCAAAUUGUUCCGUACAAUAAAGGAUGAUGACUGACGCCUCCUCGAGGCAAGGAUAAUCUUUCUCGGGGCAAGGUAGGGGCUCCUCACCGGAUUCCUCGUCAUCAUUGCACGAGAACUUCUCGAGAAACACACGCACGUGGCCCUCCAUGGAGGUCACCAGUCACCGCGGGGCUCCUCAGGACAGAGGGCCCAUCACCACUUCGAACUCGAAGUGGGGAUCGCCAAGGAGGAGGUGGGUGAAGACGCGGGUCGCGGCCACACAGAAAAGAUCGCGAGACUCCUCCUCCAAGCUGAUGUCCACCUACUUGGCCGUCCUCUCGACCUCCAUCACGAGCUCAGAAGAAAACUCGGCGUAGCCGGCGUCUUCGGAAACGAGGGAAACCUCGAGCCCCGACCUGCAAACGGAGCUCAGAGCUUGGUGGACCUAGUGGUCCAUAGAAGAAAGCGUGGCAUGGUCCGGUGCUGCCUUCGUGUUGGCAGCGGCCCGGGCCUCGUCUUCCCAUGCACCCAGCUCGGCAUUGGCCUCGGAGGCUUGCUUCACAUGGGUGUCCCGAGCCUUAGCAACCUCGCGUUGAAGUGCCUCUAACCACCCGCACUCCGCGACCUCCUCGGCUACCACCCUUGCUAACUCAAACUCACGGUCGGUGAGCUUUGACUCGUGGGCCUUGGUGGUCACCUAAAGAGCCUUCAAGCUGACCUCUACCUCUUCACAGCGCCAGGCAAGAGCUUCCUUCUCUGCAUGGGCGCUCAAGCAGGCAGCCUUUCUCUCGGCGACCUCCCGCCGACCCUCCAUGGAAACAACCUUGACCUCGCCUCUGACUUCCUUGGUGGAGAAAUUGAGUUGGCUCCACUGUGUGGCCAACCUCUCGCACUUCGCGUCCUGACGCGCCUCGGCAUCUCGGAAGUCCGCCUCGAGCUGGGGGAGCAGGCUAAAGGCGUCGGUUAGGGACCUGCACUAGAGCAAGACGUCCGGGCUCCUCAGGGCGAAGGCCUCCUUAGUUUCAUCGCCCCGACGCUACCCGGUGCCGCCACCAGAGCGGCCUCGACGCCCUGUGCAUGGGGUGCUGGGGCUAUGGGUGCUUCCCCGCUCAAGACGCCAGCAGUGCACUCACGAGAACCAUCCCCCUCCUCCGAGGCCCCGCCGGAGACCGCAACCACGACAGUUGGUGACGGGGCCUGGACCGUCGCGGCCUUGGCCGGCAGCGUCAGUGGCAGGGCCACUGCGGCCCCGAUGAUCUUGUCUCCUAGCUGCAUGGUGGAGACGUCCGAAGAUGCAAUGGCAUUUGUGUGCCGGACCGCGGCGCCGGACUUGCGCGGGCUACCUACACACCCACCGAUACCCCUACCGAGGGACGAAGGUGCCCUCAAGACCUGCAUCACAGUUGCCCAAGAAAUGACCAUCUUCUUCUUCUCCUCACCGCCACCAGGGAGCCUUCUCCUUAAGCAGACUAGUCGCGGAUGAAUAGCAUGAGUACGGGGUAAGGUACUUACUUGUCCCCGAAGGCCCACUUUCUCUUCUUCUCCGCGUUGGGUUGUGUUCUUUGCCGAGGGAGGCGCAACCGUUGUGGAGCCCAGCCCCGCUCCGUCACCUGAGGACACGGGCUCGGGGGCAUUUCUUGGCGCUUCUCGUCCAUAGCAGCAUCGUCCCCAAGACUGUGUAAGGAUGGAUGAAGGCUGGGCAGUGGAAUCCGGCCGACGUCUUCUUCCCCUUCCAUUACCUCCGAUUCCUGGUCGUUGUUGUCCCAGUCCGAGGACGCGACCAUGAUGGGGAGUCUUUGUGCGGCCCGACGAGCCCCCACUUGUUGAAGGGGCAUUUCUGAGACCAUUUCGUCCAUAUCAUCGCAGGCCUACAACGGCGGCGUGGCCUAUGGGAGGUCCUCACGAUAGGGAGCGAGCAGAGCCCCCAAGGCUCAGUCCAGCUCGUCAUGUGUCAUGCCACUAACGUGCACACACAUCGGGUCGUCGCUAGAGGUGAACUCCCACAAGGGAUGCGAGUGCACUUGAAGUGGCGCGAUGCGAUGCCCCAAGAACUCCUUGAUGAACAUCGCCCUCGUUAGGCGGGCCUUCGCGAGGGAGGCGAUUCGCUCUCCGAUUGGUCUCGCCGUCGGGUCGGUGAGCUUCUUGUGGCUCCACUUGGGGGUCCUCUCAGGUGGACUCAAGGGGUCACGAGGAGCGAGCUCUCCCACCACACGUCCAUGAAGACCGAGUGGUUCCGGUAGCCCUCGACCUUCUUCCCGGCCUUUAGGCUGCUUCAAGUGCCCAUAACGUCAAUGAAGGAGACGCAUGCGGAGCGCUAGCCCUGGGCAGUGAACCUCAAGCUGAAGAAGUGAGGAAAGAGCGCCACCAAGGGACUCACACCCACGAAGGCCUCGCGGUAAAACGUGAAGACGAACAGGAUAAGGACGGAGUUUGGCUGAAGGUGUAGAGCUUGGAUCUCGUAAUGGGAAAGGAUAGCAUAGAAGAAGUCGGAAAACAAAGGGCCCAGCCCGUCGUAUAUGUUGUGGUGGAAGAAGGGGUACGCAUACUUCACCAAGCUGCUUGGCGCUGUUGAGCCUAUCCAGAUGGUAGUAGCUCCCCACUCAUUCGUGUCGCUCACCAUGAGCGGAAGCACCACACCUAGUUCCUCCACCUUCGAGAUGCGAGCAGGCAAGAGAGCAGGCUCGGCAGCGGCGGUGCUCACGGAAGACACCAUGGCCUUCCCUUUCUUGCUGGUGGGCGCCAUAUGCCGUCCGGAGCCGCAAUGGGGGCGAGAAGGUGACUUGCUCGGAGUCUGGAUCCGGGGCGUUCUUGCAUAGAGGAAGAAGAUACAGAAAGGUGGGAAUGACGUGAAGGUUAGUAAUGAUGACUACAUCCUGUGUGCCUGCCUUAUGUUAGCCGGGGUGGGUUCUAGAGCACUGUGAUGAGGCAGGGUGCCCCGCAUCCCGUCACGGCCUGGCCAAAAGGAAGGAGAGCCCAUAAUGUCUCACCCCAGACUGCUGGGCCAUAAACACCGUGGACUCUCGUGCUAUUGCUGGGGCUAUGGGACCGGGGUCCCGAGGUCAUCCUGCCCGCGGCCAAGGGCCCGAUGCGUGCUGUGGGCCCUGAGGCGCCCCCGUUAAGAAUCGAGGGUUCGGCCCUCAUGAGGGACCCUCCUCGCGAGGGCCGAUCGUGGGGUUCCCCUGGGAUGCUCCCCCCGAGGCUUGUGGGCAAAAGGCGCCUCCAGAAGCAUCCCUCCGAGGGGUGCACCAACCGAGGGAAGCUAGUCGAGGUCACGUGGUUCAACCACCUUACGUGGAUGACCUGAGCCAUGUUGCUCGGUACCAAGGUCGGUGCGAGCGAGCACAGACAGAGAGGCUUUCCCCAUUGGUGCUAAGGGAACCAAGCCAGUUGCGGGUUCCCAAAGAAACCUCCAAAGGUUUCCCGAUUGGUGAAAGAGGAAUAAGGCUAGGGUAUCGGCAGGACGGAGCACAUCCCUGAGCCCACCAGUGCGUCACGAAGAAGGGCUUUUGCAGGCAAAGACCACCUUUGUCAGUGCGGGUCGUAGUCCUGUGCCCUUUCAAAAUGUACGUUGUGGCUGCCCUUCCCACUAAUUGUGUUUUCCAGGAAGAGUACCAAGGCUAGUAUAAAAGAGAGUUCCGGCCUCCGCAGAAGGGGACCCGAGGCUCAGUGUGUGACCUACGACAAUAAACUGCCUUUGUACUCAUCUUCCACCUCAAGCACCCUAUCAAAGAAGGAGUAGGGUUUUACACCACAAGGUGGUCCGAACCUUGGUAAAGUAUUGUGUUCACUUCCCUUAGCAUGUGGCACCGCAGAGUCAUCGUGAAGUUGAGAGGUAGAACAGGGUUGGUCAGCGAGUGCACCCUAGAGUUUGAACCUUUUCAUGGAUCUGUGGAGCCCUGAGUCCGACAACCAUGGGUAUCCACGUUCAAAACAUACAUAAAGUGAUCUCAAAUCAAAUAUUCAAACCGACAUAACAAAAUCUCAGAGGGAAGAUUCAGUUCAGCACAUGAAGAUAGCAAGGGACAAACAUCAUAUGAUCUAACUAUAUUAACAAAGCCCAUGAUACAUCAAGAAUGUGACAUAUCAAUAAAAUGAGAGAGAGAGAUUAAACACAUAGCUACUAGCACAUACCCUCAGCCCCGUGGGUGAACUACUCCCUCCUCACCAUGGCCUCCACUGGGAUAAUGAAGAUGGCGAUCGAUGAUGAUUUCCUCCUUCGACGGGGUACCAGAAAGGGUCCAGAUGGGAUUUCUUUAAUAUGGAGAGUUGUGGAGGCGAAGAAAAUUCUUUAGGUUAAAUUUUCGGGAUUUCCAAAUUUAUAGGAUUUUUCAAGGUUGGGAUCACGUCAGCCGGAGCCAAACGGGCCCCACAAGCUAACAAGGUGUGCCUAGGGAUGGGGGCGAGCCCUGUUGGUGUGUGGCACACAGUUGACCCCCUGUGAUGGUUCUUCACUCAGGUAUUUCUCAAAUUGUCCAGAAAAUUCUUCAAAAAGUAUCGUGCGAUUCUGAGAACUUUUAUUUUGUGCAUAAAACAACACCACGAUAAUUCUGCUGAAAACAACAUCAACCUGGGUUAGUUCUAAUUAAAUCAUAUAAAAUUCAUCAAACUUAUAUAAAAGUAUUGUAACAUAGGUAAAUAUGGCAUGAAUAAUUCAUAAAUUAUCGAUACGUAGGAGAUGUAUCAAUAACCCCAAGCUUAAUUCCCACUCGUCCUUGAGUAGGUAAAUCAUGAAAGAAGUAAUUUAGUAAGUGUGAAUGCUUGCAUAGUGAAUAAGUUUGAUCAAUGAUAAUUUCAGUUACUUUUCUCGUAAAACUUAUCAUGAAGGAGUAGCAAUCAAUUCACAUGUCAUGGUUCGAAUAAUGCAUUCUCUUGAAACUUGACAACCUAUGUUUUUUAGUCAUCAAACAAUUUGAAUGCAUAUUAUUUUCAACGAAGUCUAAGUAAGAUCUCCACGUACUCAAUUAUCAUAUAGUCUUCUACAAAUUGCUAAUACUCAAAGCAUAUUUUUAGAAUAAACAGCUUCCAUCAAACAAAUAUAAAGAUAGGGGCUCAGUGUUCGCCUCCGAACAUACUUAUCCUGAACAUAAUUGUCGAUAAUAAUGAAUUAUGAUCCAAUAUAUUUGACUUGAUACAUGUGUUUUGAACAUUCCCCACCGCGUGGUGCUUGCCAACUAAUAGGUUGAGGUUGGAAUACGAAGUUGACUCAACAUGAAAAAUAAAUAACAUGACAGUAAAUAACAUAAUAGUAAAUAGAUUCUCCCUUCGCGAAGGGAAGCAAGGAUUUGCAGAGGUGCUAGAGCUCAUUGCUUAAAACACGAAUUAAUAUAUUUUGGGUGGUGUGCCAUUCCAAUCAAUAUUACAACAAGGGAUUUGAGUAUCUUACAUGCUAAUUACAUUAUGGGUGGUUCCCAAACAAAAUUGAAAUUUUACUCCCCCUCAACCAUCCAAACACAUUACAUGGCUAGCCAUAUAUACAUGUGCCCUCCAAACAAUCAACUUUCUAGGGGGAGUUCUUGUUUAUUUAUUUAGUUGUAUUAGGCAGGACUAGGCAUCCUUUUUACGAUCCUAUUUCAUGCAAUGACAAGUGAAUAGGUACGCAUCAAGAGAAUAACCCACUUAGCAUGGAACAUAUUGACCGCCCUGGUUGCUCGAUUAGCGGUACUUGCACUCAAAACUGAUGGUUAUUUGAAGUUUUUACAUGUGGGACAUGCAAAUUUACUUGGAAUGGCAGUGAAAUACUCCCUCCAUCCAAAAAUAAGUGUCUUAAGCGUAAUACAACUUUGUACUAAAGCUAGUAUAAAGUUGAGACUAUUAUUCUGGCACAAUGGGAGUACCAUAUAUAAGUAGGCAUGGUGGACUCUCAUGGAAGAAACUUGGCUCAAGCAUUUGGAUGCACAAGUAGUAUCUCCACUUAGUACAAAGUUUUGGCUAGCAAAAGGUUCUAAACAAGCACCACAUGUUGGAGGAUCCGUAACAAUAUAAAUUCUAUGCAAAUAUAACCAAACAUAACAAUUACGUUGUCUUCCUUGUUCAAGUUCAGCAAUUUGGUUAUGGUUGAAAUAAUUAAUGGGUAUUCAGAAUCAUAAAUGGUGUCCAAGAUACUAUAUUUGUAUGCCAAAGUUCUCUUUCUUAUACUAGUAAUUCAUGAAUUGCUUGUGUGCCAAUAUUAUGAUUGUCAAACUGAAAGCACAACUUCUCCCUAAGGUGGUUUUGGUAUUAAAAACAACAUAUGUAUCAUUGAACUAAUGAUUCUAUCUAGUAUAUUUCAGAAAAUUUCAAAGAUGCAUUUGCUAAGGAUUGUGAGGAGAACCCCUGGAUGCAAGAAACAUCUAUUUGUAACUAGCUUGAAGACUCUACAUUUUAUAUUUUCUGAGAAAUCAAAUUUGAGUCCGUAGGAAAGCCAAUACUAUUAAAAUGGGAUGAGGUGACUAUGAUGAUCUGGUUGCUCAAGUGCUUAGAGAUAGCCACAAAAAAUACUCAUGAAAUUCUCCCACAAAUAUUGUGUCAAAAACCACAUAGUCCAAUAUUCGAUGCCACCAAAUUUCCAUUGGCCCUACCAAGUUUUCCACGAGACAAAACCUAUGCCAAAACCCUAGCACCUUGGUGCCACCAACAUUCCAUUCAGCACCACCAAAAUCACUGACCAACCCUACCAAUUCGAGAUUUCUAUAUCGGUCUUGCCGAAAAGACAAAAGUUGCCACAUUUUGUACUAUCUAGUGCGACCGAGUUUCACUUCGCUUUCUCCGAGUUGGGAAAUAAUGUAGUAACGGUUGGAUUUUUGGAGAUGCCUAAUAUACCCAUCCACCACCUCUCGUUCGCAGAGGCAACACUCAGAACACACAUACACUUGUCAUAUUCUUUUUCCUAAGAGGGGGGCACCUAUUAAUGUGUUGAGAUCAAGAUAUUCCAAUCCCACCAUUUGAAUCUUGAUUUAUAGCCUACCCAAGUUGCUUUCCACCCAAUCAGUCUCUACUACCUAAGCCAAAUCUAUGAGAGAGUGAUUGAGUGUUGAUGAGACUAUCUUUGGAAGCGCAUGAGAAAGGAGUUCAUCGUACUACCGCAUCUAUUACCUUUUUGAGGGUGGUGCCACCUAUAUUGGUUAGGUGUCGCCUGGGAGGCUCUUACUUCGUGUUGUGGAGUUGGACCAAGAAGUUUGUAAAGGCAAGGAGAUCGCCUACUUCAUCACGAUCUACCCUGAGUGAGGCUAGUCCUUUGUGGACGUAAGCCAUGAUAGAAUAGACAAGGUUACUUCUCCAUGGACCCUUCGUGGGUUAAGCCCUCCGUGGACUCUCGUGGCUGUUACCAUCCAUGGGUUUAAGUCUCCAUCAACAUGGACGUAGGAUAGCACCACCUAUCUGAACCAUGUCAAAAAUCGUCGUGUCAAUCUUUGUGUUUGAUCUUCCUAUCCCUAUACCCUCAAUUUACAUGUGCAUGUCUUUACUUUUUGAUGUUAUACUCUUAGACAUGCUUGUUACGGUGUGAUUGACUUACAACAAUUGAUAAAACUUGCCCACAACUAAAAUUGGGAAAAGGCUUAGUUUGCAUUUGGUCAAGUAGUCUAAUCACCCCCCUUUAGACAUACUUUGGAUCCUACAAGUGGUAUCACAGCUUUGGUCUCCAUUGUAUGGGUUCACAACCUAGGAGAUUAUGGUGUCUAGUGAGGGAAAUUACGACCGCACAUGUCCGUACUUUGAUGGUAUAAACUUUCCUAGUGGGAAGCAUAAGAUGAAACUACAUAUUCUUGGUCAUAACCCCGCUGUUUGGGCUUUUGUUCGUGUCGGUUUGCAAGGUGAAUUCUUUGGUGAUGGAAGGGAACUAAAUCGUGAAGCGAUAGUGGAAUAAUUGUCUAUGCCCCGAAGUGUUCAACAAGAUUAGUCGUCUUGAGAAUGCUAAGGAAAUUUGGGACACUUAGGUUGAUAUGCAUGAAGGUACCGAAACCGCCAAAGAAACUAAGUUGGAUGUGCUACAAAGUCAGCUUCACAAGUUCAAGACAAAGGAUGGUGAAUGAGUCACUGAGAUGUACUAUAGGAGUGCUCUCAUCACUAAUGAAAUUACCGGCUUAGGAAACAAAGAGAUGACCGACAAACUCAUCAUCAAGAAGAUACUUAGACCCUUGGAUGGAAAGUACAACACCGUCUGCAGAUUAAUCCAAAUGAUGGAAAAUUACAAAGAUCUCAAGCAGCAGAAGUCAUUGGAAUGAUUUUUGCUCAUGAAAUGUCAAUCAAGGACAAACAAGACCUUCACUAUAAGUCAAGAAGUGAUUACAAGGCUUCUAGUGAUACUCCGGCUCCUUCAAAUGAAAAUAUUGUCACCAAUAAAGAGAUAAGCCUCAUGAUCAAGAAAUUCAACAAGUUCUAUAAGACUAGAGGGAAAUAGACAGGAUCCAAAUCAAGAUAUGAAGAGAAGCGUUCAUCUAGUCAUGACCGAAACUGCUACAGUUGUGCAAGUCCACGACACUACUUUAAUGAGUGCUCGCACCCCCCCCCCACAAAACAAGAGAAGAGUCACCUAGAAGAUGAAUCUUAAGAAAUGAGUAACCUCUAAGAGAAAGAAGGAGUAGAUAAAAUUGUUAUGAAUGAAGACCCUCCGAGAAAAGCAAGAAACAGUAGAGGAAGUACAAGUACACCAAUAUACACUCGAUAAGAAGACAUUAAGCUCAUGUUGGUGAAUGGGUAUUCGGCUUCGAGUCUGACAACCAAUCAGUGAGAAGCUACCACUCCAAAUAUCACAAUAGUCAAGAUGAAGGUGUUUCCGGUCUUGCACUCGUAUCAUCCAACUACUAUGGAAUAUUUGAUUCACCAAAUGAAGGGAUUGGAAAAUGCUUGAUGUCUAAAGGCACCAAGGUAUCACACCCUCAGUCCUUUGACUUUAAUAGUGAUGAGGAUGACCUACUUGGAGAUGAUGACAUGUUCUUUGAUAAAACUAGUGAUAGCAAUGAAAAUGAAUUUGAUGAUGAUGAUAAAAGGAGAUUGAGCGUCUAACUAAAGAAUUAGAAAUUCUAAGUUAGCCUAUGAAUCUACUCUAGAAGAUCACAGGGAACUUGCAAGAAGUCAUGAGAAGCUACACUUUGAAAAGUUAAAUUUAGAGCAUGAGCAUGAGUUUCCAAAUGCAAUCAAUAAUGAUCUUCCAAAGAAGAGUUAUUAUUAUCUACCCAAACGAUUACUCUUGUCUACUUUUGUUCCACAAGUUAAAUAUAAGAAAACUAGUAACGAAGGCAAGAAAGUUUCUUCAUCUAGUAACAACCACACCAAUGCUAUGUCCAAUGAUGUUGUUGCUAGUAGUUCUCUUGAUUCCACUAAUGAUUCUCUUGGACCAGUUACACGUGAUAACGAGAAUGAUUUAUUCAAAGGAAUUAUGGAGAGAGAUGUCAUCAAGAGUCUUGCCGGAAGUAAACAAUUCAAGGAGAUUACAGCAAGCGAGGAGGACAUCGGAAGAAACAAUGCAUUGGCUACUUAAUACAAAUGGAGUUGAAUGGGAAGAAGGUCAAUACCCCAACCCGAAGUUUGUUCCCCAAAAGGAGAAGUAUGAUCCUACUCUCCCCAAGGUAACAAAUGCUCAAGACGACCUUUCACCACAAGAACACAAGAUCUAGGGCAAGGACAAGCUUCAAGAGGAGAUUGACUCAUUCGAAGAAGAAUCCCAAGCUAUGGUCAAUUGAAUUCCCAAGGCCACACUAGCUCUACUUCAUCAAGCACUACCUUAACUCCGAGAAUCCCCAUCAAGUUGAUGUGGGUCCCUUAGAAGAAGAACUAGAGAAGUUCUCGAGGGGUGACUCCACCAAUGAAAUUCACUCUUAUUCAUUUUGGCAAGAACUAGUUGCAAUCAACUCCAAACACAUGCAUUAGUUCAACGAGUCACACAUUGUCUCAAUGGUAAGAAAGGGACAAGGUAAUUAAUGUAUCAAUGGACUUCAUCUCAUGUGAACUUCACUCCAUGUCCAUAGAUAUCCUUGUACUUGUUCCUUGUGUGGGACUAACCCAUGUAGGCGAGAAGAGUAAGAAACAACAAGGAUUUCUGCCAACUAAAGAUGAUCUUCAUCAACAAUGAGCAUCCACCACUACUACACCUACAUGAAGUCUUCUAUGAAAAAACUUAAGGUUAGUCUAUCCCUCUUAGGGGCGAUGUCACUUCAAGGAGGAGCUUUACUCUAAGACUUGAGUUAAAGCAUCUCUUAUGGUGUGAACACAUUGAAAGAUUUAUGUCAAAGUGGCAACCCCACUUUCGCUUAAACAAUGAGUAUGACCUAUGAUCAAGUAUUCUUCCUUGGAUCCUAAGUCAAUAUACUCAUAUAGAGAUGACUUUGUCAUAGCCAAAGUGCUUGGUAGAUACUAGAGUGGUUGUGCAUGUUUGUCAUGCUUUAUUUGACAUCUUAAUGUGUGAGCAUGUUGGUAUGCAUAUUUUUGGUCAUUCAAGGAUAUCCAAUUGUUGUUAUUUGACUUUCUAUUUUCUUUGGCCAAUUGGAUAUACAAGAAUUCCUAAGUACACCUCUCUAGAUAUCUAUGCUUUCUCGUAUCAAAUUCUAUUCAUGGUUCAUCACAAAAUUUGUGCAACCACUUGUCAGUAACCCUGUGCGAGGAGCGCUCGGAGAUCCGUCUUGACACAGAGAUAACUUCCAAAACCUCCCAUGUGCAACUCGGUUACCAUCUCCACAAACUUGGUCUGACCGCAGCACUAGAGUUGAUCUAGUUUUUGAACCUUGGUAGAACCAAUUUUGAAAUCUCAGCCUCAUAGAAUUUCCCUGCCCUAGGCAGUUAGCAAUCUCCGUGGCACCGAAAUUUUCUAAUUGGUGUCACUGAAAGAUACAGGGUAUAUAACCUUUGUGGAAACAAGAUUGAAAAUUAAUUUCACUCUUCACCCAUCCAUACCCCUGUGUUGCCGCUGCUCUUGUGUAACACCCUGUGUUUAACUCUCCCGACUAAUUAACCUUUCUCAAAAAUUAGGACCAAUUAAAAAUUUUAUGAGUGCUUGUGAUGCUUGAAGUGAUUGUUGUUUGUUUGCUUGCUUGUUUGUAUGCGUGUGUUUGAUUCUCAAUUUUCCUUCGACUCUCCACACUCACCUCCUUGUCCCAAAACCUUUCCUAAUGAUCAUGCCAUGUGUAUAGGACCACAAACUAUUUUACUAAAUAUUAUUUUCACCAAAAAUAUUUUAUUUAAUUUAAGCUUUCAAAACCCCCUGAGUUGGGAUUUGUACUACAAGUCCUCAAAUUAGGGGAGUUAUUUUAUACCAAAUAUUUAAUUUAAAUGACAUUAUCAAAAUGGCUUCCAAAAACCUCAAUAUUACUAUUUAAAAAGUUAUUUUACUAUUUUAUUUAAAUACCAUUCUCUGAGGCCAUAAAUGGUCCCUUAUGAAGGAAAGUUACUUUUAUUGCUUUCAAAAUAUUUGAUAAAAAUUAGGGAAACUAAGUGGACAUAUAUAUUCCAUAUAUAUGAGUUUCGAUACAUGGUCAUGUUCAAAAUAUAGGGCAAAACCCUUCCUGCUUACUUCAAUCUUUUGAAAUAUUUCAAUAAGAAAUAUUCUCAAUAAAUUCCUGUAAAAUUCGAGCAUGUCACAUAUGAUAUAUGUAAUGAUCUUGCCAAGUUUCAUCUCAAUCCAAGUUGAUUUGAUUCACUUAGUUAUUCUAAAAUCCUAUCUGUCCAAAUCCAAAUUUGAGCAACUCUACAUUGCCAAGUGUAUCCAAUUGUGCUCAGAUUUGGUGGACAGGUUGUGAUACUCAAAUAACGAAUCCACACCAAGUGGUGCAUCAAGGAGAAUAGAAGAACUUGUCCUAGACCCCUCAAUACGUUCUCUCUUAUUUCUAACUUUGGGAAAUUUUACAUUAUAAAGUUUCUGCAAUUGAUCCCAAACUGCUUGGGCAUUCUUUAAUGUUCAAAUAAUGCCCCCACACCAAUUUUUGGAUUUGUGGGAAUUGAUUUGCAUGGUUUCUUAUACAGAAAGCCAUUUAUGCCCAUUUCAUUGGGUUUUCACGUCUACAAUGGAAACUUUCUCCACGGAAUCCCAAAAUUGGUUUCCGCGCUUACUUUCAUCUACAAUGUGAUCCUGUUAAGUUUCAUAUCAAUUGGAAUCUAUAUGGUAUCCCUAGCAUCCGUCAAACACCUUGUGUGCAUUACCAAAAGUUGCUGCUUUGGAUCCUUCCACUAUUUCCCUUGAGCUUAAAUUUUUACCACAGCCUUCCAUAGUCCCCUUUUACAUCCAGUUACCUUUCCAUGGCCAUUGGUCAAUUAUUGGGGUCUGACUCCAUCUAUAUACCCCUCAUUUUCACCUUGGCAGCACUGGUUUACCCAUCUUGCUAUACUUCUGCUUAGGCCAAAGCCCCCAUAUUCUUCCAGGGAAUCUCUAGCAUGCUAAUGCAUCAUUUCAAACCAAGAUAUGGCAUGCUCAUGUAGGAAAAUUGAGCAACACAUCUGAAACUUGAUUUUUGGAAGCAUUGUAGCCUUCGACUACAACUACCAGCUAAACUCAUCCCCCUGAGGUCAAACCUUCCAGAACUGUAGUCCUUCCAUGCCUAAGACUACUAGACAUGGUUUCACCCAAUUAUCUCUCUAGUAAGUGCCCUCAUUGCUAGCCUUAAGUUUGCUGCUGCAAACUAAAUUGCAGUCAAAUCAAAUUCAAACCAGAUCAACAAAAGACCAAACUCCUCACUCACACUCCAGCAAGCAUGCCCCACACCCCAGACACAUUUGACUUGUCAUAAGGGCCCUGUAGACACAGGUGGCCGUGGUGACCACCUCCGUGUCAUGCAGAAAUGGUGCUCUGCACCUUGGCCUCUUGCUGCAGCUCGGGUCCAGCGAGGGCAAUGUGUCCCAGAGCACCACAAGGCCUCCCUUGACCGUCAAACGUCGCUCCCCAACGCUGGCUAGCAUCCAGACGCCCCAGGGACGCGUUCUCUCCCAUGCCAGAGCGCAUGCGCCACGGAGCCGAGCUCCUCCUCGUCACCCUCCUCCUUUUCACCGUGCACGGGAGUCUUUGCUGUCUCCUACCUCCUUCACCCUCUCCCUCGAAACCCCAAAGCUCCCCACUGUCCCUCUCCUGCCCUUAAUCCGUCCCCAUGGCCAAAGCCUUCCGCCGGCCCUAUCUUGAAUCCGAGCCUCUCGGGUGUCCCCUCUCCUUCUCCGAUCACGGUGACGUGCCCCUGAUGCCCCUGCAGCCUCCCCACCCUCCCUCUUCUCCUCGGGUGGCCAGCAGGUUGGGCACCGCAGCUGCCAUCGCUGCGGCUAACGACACGCUCAGAACGCUCCCCUCCGGUAGGGGUGGAGCGCCCAGGCAGGUGCGGCUCGAGCACUUGAGUACUUCGGUGGCCGAAGCAUUUCGAAAUGCAGCCGUUGGCGUUGGGGAGGCACUCAAGAGCGCUCGGCUGCAAUGCCCCUGUCUCGCCUGGCUCGAGCGGGAUGUAGGAGACAGCCUGACGAUCGGUUCCCGCGCAUCAAGGAGCCAAGACCGGGCACCCUCUCCUUAAGUGGAGGCGGGCUUUGCCCCGGCGCCUCCGCUUCUGUGGUAACGCCUUUCGUGUAUUAAAAAUAUCGACGUGGCCCUCCUGCGCGGCAGGCCAAGCGGCUGGGCCAUCCCAGUUCCUCCCCAACGCCCUUAGCGCGAUUUAAUUCUCUGGUAUAGCCCCUCUUUUUAUUUUUCUCUUUUCGUCAGAAGCUUGUAAAUCGAUCAAAAAUUCAUUGUGGCUCCAAAUCUUGUGAUUCAAGUUUCUGCAGGUUUCUAAAAUCAUGGCCUAUCCAGAUCUGUGCUUUGCACAUUUUUCCAAGAAUAUUUUCUGUAGUGUUUUAUUCAAAUUCAAAAUAUGGAUAUUUAAAAUCCCACCUUGUAAAAUUUCUAGAAAUCCCAAAUAAACUCCAAAUGGAGUGAUUCCAAUUUCCACAGACAUAUUAAACCGUUCCCUAAUUUCCUAGCCUAGGUGAACAUUUUUCUCUGCCUUGUUUUUGUUGCAUUUAAUAAAUAGUGCCUAUUCCUAUUUAUUCCAUAUUGAAAAAUCCCUAGAAUACUAAUACCAACUCCAAAUCCAGUGAAACAACUUCCUAAAUGGUUCUAAAAUCAUGCUCUGUUAAAUGAGUGGCUCCACUCAUUUUUAGCAGAAUGAUUUAAAUAGGUUUCUUAAAGGAUCGCCUCUUCCUCCUUUCAUCCAUUCAAAAUCCGUGAUGGUCCAAAUCUCCUAGAGGAAGCUUCAGGCAUUUUUCUUAUGACCAGAGAUGUCCAAGAAAAAUAAAACUCCUAUUUAUAUAGAACUUCUCUUUCCGCUUGUUGUGUGCCUUAUUGUGAUUGUUUCCGACGAUAGUUGACGAAGUAGAUGGAGUACUCGGAGUUGGACCGGAAGACCUCGAAGACCCUGAGGACUUAUGUGAGCCAAGGCAAGUAGCCCUUUGACCAUGUGUGAGAAAAUGUUUUAUGCAUGACAUAUUGAUUACUUUAUUCUGAUGCAUAUAGUUAAGAUUAAUCGGUACACCCCGGCAUGGUGUUUCGAUAGGUCCUCCAGAGCACUUGCAUUGAGCAUGACCCUACCAUCUAUGAGGGUCACGCCGAUAAAUGUUGACAAGUAGAUAGUAGCGCUACGCAUAGGAUGAGCAUAUGCAUGAUGACGGUAAAACAAAGGUGGUAUCAAAGGUUUUACGAGAACCCCGUCGGGUGCCACUUAUGCCCGAGGGUGAUGUGCUGAGAUGGAUGACCACUUGAGAAAGAAGUGGUGUACCGGAAAGGUUUUGUGUGAGAGGUUUCGGAAAUGGGAUUAGAUUUAUGAUGUGUCGACUGUCCCAACCUUACAUGUGCAACCACGAUACCCCUUUAUAGGACGGGGCUUGUUGAUUACUUUCGUCGGUGCUAGCAAAGAGCCCGCAUUACUAGUGGCGGGAGUGAUAUGGUCACUCUCAUGACGAGGUCAUACCAGGUAGGUCGACUAUGCCGUUUUUACGUAUUCCAGGCACACCGUUGGUCUCCGUAUUGAUGAUACGGUCCAGAGUUGGUGCCCGUAAGACGUACAUCAUGUGGGUUGGGUACCAAUCGGGUGGACUCUUUCUCUAGUGCCGUGAGGGGAAAGGCAAUGAUCGGGCACUUACCUCGGGUAUGUUAUAUACCGCGAGUCGUGGAUGACACGGAUGUUUCCCAGAUCUCGUGGGUACAACGUACAACCUCUGCAGAAUGUAAAACUAUUCGAAUUGCCAUGUCCAUGGUCAAGGAUAGUUGGGUAAUCCUGCUUAAACAACGUCCAAUCGUUUCCGCGUAAACCAAGUGUGUGUGUGNNNNGUGUAUUAAGGUGUUAUAUGAGUAAGAGGAUAUGAACAGUGUGGAGACUUGGCAUAUAGGGUGAACCUAUGGUGUUGAGCCCUCCAUAGAUACAUUUAUAUCUGUGACGUGUAUUCAUGAUUACUAUCUAGCUUAUGAUGCAUAUCCAUACAUGUAGUUCAUGUUCAUUUUCUAAUUAAAACUUGCUUUCUGCAAAGGAUCCUUCUUAUGCUAGUUCAUGUUCCUUUAUUACCUUAUUCCACAUCAUGCGCUGUUUGUGACUACAUUCAAUGUACUCAUUGGCUUGCCACUGGUUAUUUUAUUAACCAGGUAUGAGAGAACAAGUAUGGUGAAGAGUAAUUUGGUGACGUUCCUGCGAGCUAGGACGCUUCCUAGUCGGAAUGCGCGUAGGUUAAGGACGAUGGCUUGGGUUCACGCUUUCGACCAAUAUUUCCGCUAUUGGUCCAGGUUGCUGUAUUGGCCUCCAAGGCCCUAUAUAUGUAAGACUUGACUACAAUGGUCAUUUCUUGUAUCAAACAAUAUGUGUCGAUGUAAGACUCUUGUUAUUCAGUUUAUGUGUGUUCGGUGAGCAUUGAUCUCUUGUAUCACUAAGCACGCUCAUUCGGCGAUCUCGACUCAUAAGUCGGGGUCCCCACAUCGUCUCCAGCGCGCCCUUGCCGCCGGAUUCCUUGGUCAUCGUCAAUCUACUCCACAACUAUUUUUGUAGUUGGACUUCACCAAGUUAGGGUAAAGUUUUGACCCCUCUUGCACUCAUUGAUUUUAAUUCUUGGGCAUGAGUUUUUUUCCAUUAUGUGUCCACAGAUUGCAAUUCCUCCAACCAAAAUAAAAUCCCUUAGUGUAGACAAACGAUAUUUUUUAGGGUUAGGUCUCCGCUUUGUGCAUCUCGGAGUCAUCGGGUGUACCACGAUCCGUGUCACCGAUUCCUGAAUUAGGGCUUCUGAUAACUGUCUCGGUGGAAUCGAGUUUCACUUUUCGGUGCUAACGAAAAGUGUGGCCAAGUUUCUGUUAAUGAGAUGGUCAGUCUCGGAAGCUCCAAAUUUCUGUCUAUGUGGAACCGAAACUCAUAUAGCUGAUACUUAAUACUAAAUUUUUUAGUUCAAAAUUUUGAAUAUUUUUGUGGUUUGUGAUACCCAUCUAUUCCCACUCUUCUAUAACUAUUCAUAGGGUCUGCUUUUCAACUUGUGAGAAUGUCAGGGUCUGAAGAUAGUUAGAAUUCUUAGAGAGAGCAGAGCAUGGAAGUGGUCUUGGGCACUAGUCGUGAGAAUAUUGAUACCGAUCGAGGCACUCCUAGCUCUCAUGAUAUGCCCAAGGUAGCUACCAGGUACAGGAAGAAGCUGAACUCAGAUUAAGGAGCUGAUGAUUCCAUUCCUCAGGAAACAACUUCUCACAAGCAGAAGAAGAAGGUCACAUUCACGAAAACUAUAAGAAAGGAGUUUGCAUAUCCAGAUUUUGUGAGAGCUCCUGAGACAACUAGAUGUGCUAAGUGUCUAGUGGAUGCUAAAACCUCCAAGCUAGCGAAGAAGCUAGGACAUAACAGAGCCGGAAAGAGGAUCGUGCAUGUUUUUGGAAGGCCAACCUCAAUGUAUGAAGAUCCAGCAGAAGCUGGAGAGAAGAAGAGGAAGAGUUACCUGCUAAUCCACCUCCCUCCAAGCCUACAACUAAGGCUAAGUCUACUGCGCCCAAGUCUAAAACGCAUGUAUCUCCUAAACCCAAGAGGACUACAUUAGAUAUUCCUGAACCACAGAAGAACAAGGGCUGUGCAUCCAGAGAUGUUGCUGCAGAAGAAGAAGAAGAUCUUGCUGUUUUGAGGAAACUGAGACCUCACUUGCGAGAGUACAAGAAUGAACACCGUCUGGUAGAGAAUAUGAAAGAAAGGAGGGACCAAGGGCUCAGACCAUGGAGAGUAGCAGAUCCCUAUGUUGUUAGGAGGAGGAUAGUUGUCGAUGCUUGCCUCCACUCCAAGGAGCAAUAGGAUUUUUAUGAAACUGUGAUAUUAGAGAAGAGUCCAACUGUGAGCGACAUGAGAUAUGUAGACUAGGACUACAUCAAGGAACAUGAUGACUACUUGCCUCAUGUGAUAGACAACUUCAGGGCCAUUGACAUAGAAUAAUUUGUUGGCAGAGAGAUGACUAUGUGGAACGACGAGAUGAUCAUGCAAUUCUACUCCACGGCACAUUUCAAGAGUGACUGUAGGAUUGUAUGGAUGACUGAAGGAAACAUGUAUAAAUUGACAGUGGAGGAGUGGGCAACCACCAGAGGUGCUCCAAAGGCAUUAGAGCAUGACUUUGAUGUUUAUACUAAGCCUGAGAUGAAUCAAAAUUCUAUGGACGACAUGUAUAACCCAGUGCCCCAAAAGUACCCAAGGACCCACAAGCUGGGUUUUGUUUACUUCCUGCAACCUGGAAUACCCACCACCAACACCAUAAUGAGAUACACGUUGAUGCCUAAGGUAGGUGAUGGUAAAAUAAUCAAGGGGUAUUCUAUCCAUAUGCUCCACCACAUAGACACCCACACCAGGAUUUGGGUGAUGGACCUGAUUGAAGAGACAAUCGGAAGGAUUGUUGUUGAUCAAAAUAUAUCAUACGGAUAUGCACCAUACAUUCAGAUUAUGAUCAAUUCCAAGAUUGGGAAGAACUUAUAUCUGCUUCAUUGUCCACACCUGCCACUCCAGCUAGAGUUUGAAGAUAAUGAAGUUGUGAUAGAUACCAGCCAUCCUAGUUCAGCUACAUCUCAUGUUCAGACUAAGGCAGUAGCAGAGGUAGAGGCACCUAUAGCAGCUCCAGCUCCAUAGUUAAUGACCAGAGAGGACGAGAUGACUUUUCUCAUCAGCACCAUCCAAGGGUUGGAGAAGAACAUUAUAGACAUCUUGUUGAAUCAGAAGAUUCUCGAGAGGAUCGUGGAGAAAAAUUCCAUGACCUGGAUAUCAACUUGACAAAGUUAGUCACAAGUGUUAAUCAGCUAAAGCAUGAAGUUGUUGAAGUGCACACUCCUCGCUCCAGCAGUGAGAAUGAUGAUGAUACGUCUCUUUCAACUACCACUUAGUGCAGGACCCAUGCCAGAUCUGUAUCUAUGCUACUUCCAUAAGCCAUGCCAUCUUCAUUCGCUCAAGCAUCAGCUCCAUUAGCUCCACCAGCUCAUGUACCUCUAGUGUCUACACCACUACCUCAGAGGACAUCUACUGAAGCCAUCACCAACGCUCUCGUGUCUACUCCAUCAACUCCUUCCAGAGGAGAUCGAAUCCCGAGCGACGCUUAGUUCUAGUUCUUUGAACUUUUGACAACUAGUUGCCUACGGGGGAGAAGUAUAUAGAUCAAUAGGGCUAAGAGACUAUGUGUUGUUUUAUUGUUGUCUUUGGUUUACAAAAACAUUUGGUCUUUUGGAUAUCUUCAACUUUGUGCUUGAUCAUACACUUUGGUUGAUGAUGCUAGUAUUUCACACCUUUGAGCUAUCUACAUGACGAUCAUCCACUCAUUUGUUUGGUGUUAUGUGCAUUAUUAUUCAUUCAUAUCAUUUAUGCACACCACCAAGAUGUAUGUGACAUGUAAGUGUGUCCCAUGCUCCUAAUCAAUUACGCAUUUGCAUUCAAACCAUGUUUGAAAUAAUGCACAAAUUUAGGGGGAGCUCUUGCUCAUCACAUACCUCUCAAAGUGACGAUGCUAAUCAUUGAUUAUAUCAUUUGUUGAAGCUUUGAUCUAUAUGAUGUCAUCAAUUACCAAAAAGGAGGAGAUUUAAAGACCAACUUAACCCUAAGGUGGUUUUUGUAAUUAAUAAUAGAGAUGUAUCAUUGAACUAAUGAUUCUAUCUAGUAUAUUUCAGAAAAGUUCAAAGUUGCAUUGGCUAAGAUUUGUGAGGAGAACCCCUGGAUGCAAGGAACAUCUAUUGGCAACAAGCUUGAAGAGUCCACAUAUUAUAUUUUGUGAGAAAUCACAUUUGAGUCCAUCGGAAAUCCAAUACAAUUAAAAGGGGAUGAGGUGACUAUGAUGAUCUGGUUGCACAAAUGCUUAGAGAUAGCCACCAAAAACACUCAUGAAAUUCUCCCACAAUUGUUUUGUAAAAUCCACAAAGUCGAAAAUUUGGUGCCACCAACUUUCCAUUUUUCCGUACUUAGUUUUCCACCAGAUAAAACCUAUGCCAAAUUAUUAGCAUCUCGGCGCCACCAACAUUCUAGUCGAACCCACCAAAAUCAAUGACGAACUUUCUGGUUAGCCAUUUUCAAAAAUCGGAAUUUCCGAGUUUUGGAAAUCGGUCUCACUAAGAUUUGGACCUGCCCUAGGUCACCCAUAUCAGUACCCCGAUAUUUCUAUAUCGGUCUUACCGAAAAGUUAAAGUUGCUACAUUUUGCACUAAUCGGAGCCACCAAGUUUCUCUUUGGUUUCACCGAGUUGGGCAAUAAUGUUGGAACGGUUUGAUUUUUGGAGAUUCCUAUAUAUACCCAUCCACCACCUCUCAUUCACAAAGGAAGCACUCUAAACACACAUACACUAGCCAUAUCCAUUUUUCUGAGAGAGAGCCACCUACUAAUGUGUUGAGAUCAAGAUAUUCCAAUCCUACCAUUUGAAUCUUGAUUUCUAGCCUCCCGAAGUUUCUUUCUACCCAAUGAAUCUCUUAUAUCCAAGCUAAAUCUGUGAGAGAGUGAUUGACUGUUGAGGAGACUAUAUUUUGUAGCACAAGAGAAAGGAGUUCAUCGUACUGCCACAUCUAUAACCUAUUGGAGGGUGGUGCCUCCUAGAUUGGUUAUGUCUCUCUUGGGAGCCUCCUAAUUCGUGUAGUGGAGUUGAAGCAAGAAGGUUGUACGGGCAAGGAGAUUGCCUACUUCGUGAAGAUCUACCUGGACUGAGGCUAGUGCUUUUUUGGAAGAAGCCAUGAUGGAAUAGACAUGGUUGCUUCUCCGUGGAGCCUUCGUGGGUUGAUCCCUCCUUGGACUCUCGCGGUUGUUACCCUUCAUGGUUGAAGUCUCCAUUAACGUGGACGUACGAUAGCACCACCUGUCAGAACCACACCAAUAGUCGUUGUUUCAAUCUGUGUGUUUGAUCUUCCUAUCCCUACCCUCUAUUUACAUGUGCAUGUCUUUACUUUCCGCUGCAAUACUCGUUGACUUCCAUGUGUAGGGUAUGCUUGACAUACAACAAUUGAUAAAUCCCACAACUUAAUUUGGGAAAAGGGUAAGUUCUUAUUUGGUCAAGUAGUCUAAUCACCCCCCCCCCUCUAGACAUUCUUCGUAUCGUACACAAAAUUGAACGGAUUUUACUUUCUAAACCAAAUGUGAAACUAAUACUAAGAAAAAAACACAUUGAUAGUUUGAAAUUUAUAAUAUUCCUUCAUUCACAAUUUACUCUUAUGAUAUAACUGAAGCACAUGAGUAGACAUCAAGGUAAUCUCAAAAGAUAUAAGUUAAUAACAAUCACUAGUUAAACAAUUAAAUAGAUAUGUGAGGACUCUCUCAAAAAGACUUCCAUAUCUAAGAAUUUUAUUCAAAUGGAAAACAAAACAAAAGGCACUCCAAGAAGAGCACAUAUCAUGUGAAUGAAUAAAAACUUAGGAUCAACGUAGUCGAACUGGUAGUUGUUGACGAAGAGAGGUGGGAUGCGUAGCAUCCCCAAGCUUAAACACUUGAGAGGUGGGAUGCGUAGCAUCCCCAAGCUUACUUCUUGUAAUAUUUACUUAGGGUGCCUUGGGAAUCCCCAAUCUUGAGCUUUUGUAUUUCAUUCAAUCUUCUUAUAUCCUGGUUUCACCUAAGUCUCAAAAGCUUCAUCUACACAAAACUUGAAAUGAACUAGUGAGAUCGGUUGGUACACAUAAGAAUAAAUCAACACUUCAUGUACUACCAAGUCAAGUUGCAUAUUCAGUUUUAGACAUUAGGUAAUGUAUAUUGUGAUUUCCACAAUUUAUAUCUACCAAUAUAAGCCAUGACAACUCUAGGAUAACUAGAUAACUAAACUAUGACAUCAAUUUGUCCAAACAUAAUAGCCUAUAGGAAUUAUUUUUCAAAGUGUACUUAUGUAGCACAAUCAAUUUGUAUUACAGUGUUGUAUAAAAGUUUCAGAAACUUUCCAUAUUCCCGUGAAAUCUAAUAAUUUAUAUACUACAACAAAAGUUUCUGUUUUUGUAGAACACAAAUCACACAUGUAAUUCAAGCAUGUAAAAACAAUAUUAUAAAGAAACAUCAACCAAAAUUUAAAAAAUCAAAAUUAUACUCCAAACAAAACUCAUAUUAUGUGAUGAAUAAAAACAUAGCGCCAAGUAAGAUAUACCGAUAGUGUUUGAGACGAAAGAGGGGAUUCCUUCCGGGGCAUCCCCAAGCUUACAUGCUUUAGCCUUCCUUGGAUAUUACUUUGGAGGUGCCUUGAAAUCCCCAAGUGUUGGGGUGUUUUGAUGAUCUAUGGGACCGGCAAGGUCCCUUGGUUACGCUUCCGCGGGGACUAUGGGCACACAAAGAGCAUCGCUGACAACGACGUGCAUGGGUGUUUAGAUAGGUUCGGGAUGCUCGGGAACGUAAAACCCUGUGUCGUGUGUUUUGGUGGAUUAUGUGGAUGAUCGCAAUACAUACGCACUCGCCCAACAAGGAUGAUCGAGGACAGAAGUUACGUGUACAGAAUGUAUAGAGUGUCGACCCUUCUAAAGGUAGCCAUGGAGCUCCUUUUAUAGUCUAAGGAGUUACUACACUGGCUACAUCUAUCUUUUCUUGGGAGAAUAGUCCACAGGCUAUCAACAAAACUGCUGAAAGAAGCAACAGUGGAACUACCUAACUCUGACAAACAGAGACAGACGCAUAAAAUGUGACAUGUGGUGGUGUGCACGCGACGUUCCCUCGCAAUAAUUGCAUGUCCUUCUUUGACAUUCCCCCAGCUAUCUUCUCUUUGCUUGACACGCCACGGGACGGGUGUCAUUAAAGUGACUACAUGCCUCUAACUAGAACCACCUAACCGGCGUCUCGCUCGACACCUCACUGACUCUAACAAUCAACCUGGUGAGGUGGAGCGGCGGAGAUCUGGACGGUUCGUGCCGGACGCGUUUGAUGUCUGAAUUUCCUCCUCCCAGCAAGAUGGCUUGCUAGGGCCUUGUUUCUGGUCUUCGCUCAUUGUUGUACAAAGGUUGGCGUUGGCCGGCAGGGUCUUGCUGGCCCGGGGGACGCGACUACCUGUGUACAAUUCUGGGUACUAAAGCCCCCUUAUUUUAGUACAACGACAGUAGCCCCCGGGCCUAGGGCACACUUUGCGUCCGCGAAGUUUCUUGGGUUAGGCCCGAAACAUAGUACAUAGUCGCACAUGGCCGAAAUUCCCUACGGUUAUCAUGACUUACUGCUUUCAUACAACGCGCAUUUACUGCUGAUUGUGGGGGUGGUGGAGCGAGGCGGUUGUUUCAAGGAAUCUCGAAAAGCCGCGCGCUAUUGGUAGAGAAUGGCGGUCACCCUAGCCCACACUCUUGACAACGAAUGGUCGCUUUGGAAAGCAAACAAACAGCCCCAGGUCCCUUAGAGGGGAGGGAAAAAACUGCGGGCUGGACCUCAUUCACUCCUCGCCACUAAGUUUUGUCUUCUCCUCUUUUGUAUUUCGUCAUACCUGUGACGACGAGUGUUGCUUGCAUGGUGUUGUAUUGGGUGGGAAGGGCAGUUGCUGGUGCUAAGUGUAUGCCAGUAUGCCCCCGCCUUGGGUUAUGAGGAGCUAGCCCCCUUCCCCUCCCUCGCUCUAUAAAUAGGAGGGUUGAUGGGGGAGCGUUUCUCACCUGCGUUCCCCUUUGCCAAUACAUUGACCAUCAUCCUCUCAUUUUCCAUGCUAUUAUCUUCAUCGUGCCGUCCUUGGGAUUACGAGGGGUCGUGGUCACGCUCACACAUCCCAUUCCCUAGAGAGGGGCGCCCCCAAAGCCACAUGCGAAUUGUGGUGACAGUGGCUGGGAUUUUCUCCAUUUCCUACCGCAGGGCGACAUCCAGGGGUUGAGGAAGGGUGGCUCCGGCGAACUGCGGCGAUCGAGGCGGUGCGCCUCUCUUACAACCUCACGUAGGGAUCCAUGCACUGGAGGAAGUGCAUGAGUUCGUUGUGUCAUUUCCUCGUCGGCAUUAGCAUUAGCUGCGCCUCCCUAAACCCUUCGUGUGAGCUAUGUAAGACACUCAAACCCCAAGGACUAUGGAUGUGAGUGGAUGGCUGCUGCAACGGGCCCAUCUGGGUGGUCGUUGCCUCACCUGUGGGUGCGAUAUAUUCCUGACACGGGUGUGGAAGUCAUUUGCCCGUUCCCGGGUCUUGGUCCCGGACAUCUCCUACAGUGUAGUUUCGAUGGCGCCGCCACUCCCACCAUGAAGUUCUUUGGCGCAUCCGGUGUGCACCUGGAGUGCUGUGCGGACAGUUCUAACGGAAGCAACUUCGACUCCUCUAACGAUAGCUAUGAUGGCGCUAGUGUCUUUGGCAUCAAGCUGGAGGACUCCGAUUAGCUGCGCUUGGUGUUCAAGCAUGGACCCGGAUAUGGGGGGACUGGCGCGGGAGCAAGGCUCCAUCUGUCGGAUUUUGUUUCCGGCUCAAUCUCCACAUCGUAGUGGUAGAUGUCCUUUUGUGUUUAGGCUCUGCAAAAUGUAACCAUGUGAGGAUCACAAAAACAAGUAAGUGGGAGCUAUCCUCUUAAGAGUUCUAAACUUCUGUCGCAUCUUGAUGAAAGUAUGCUCUUCCUUUAUCCUUCUCCUUUCUCGUCGCAAACCCACACUUGUGCACUUAUAUUCAUUGUGUUUUCCAGGAAUGCUUGCCGACGUGUUGUCCUUUCCGCGAUUGACUAGAGUGUUUAGCCAAGACACCCCAACACACAACAAUUUUGACAAGGUCCCUACAUGUUGCUUGCUCGUUCUUGUAUUUAUCGUGGACGAGAUUGAGUACUUAGUAUCCCAACAGUGAUUCCGUCGCCAGCAAGGGCUCUUGUCAUCUUUUCCACGACUACUUAAUGUGUUGAGUAAGCUCGAAAACACUCAAUUGCGCAGGAAUUUUUUUGAAGGC
rnacentral:lncRNA from 1 species